CUGCUAGCAUGAGUUGCAUUCUCGCGCGCGACUCCUUACAUCUAGCGCGACUUCAAGUAUGGACUCGCGCGCGAGAACCCAACUUAUGCUAAACCGCCAGUGGGUCCCUUUAGUGCCGGUAAGGCCCGUCCUUAGAUAUAAGUCAAUGAACGAUAACGAUUUAAGAUGACGUUCGGAUGUCUCGUCGUUGCGUUUUACUGUAUCCUUUUAGAGUAAGUUGACGAAGCCUGUUGCAGAUUUUACCGUUGUAUUGUAUUGUAUUGUGACAAAGAUAAAGAUAGUUUAAUAUUCAAGUAGGCAUAUUACAAUGCGCUUAUGAACGUCAAAUAAAGCUACACCGGCUCUAACCCUACACCUCUGACCCGAGAAGAUUUAAACCCGACGAACGACGAUGAAAGCCGAGGAAGCCUGUAGCUGAUUAUGAGUUUGUGUUCACCUGACGAAGCCUGCGUUUAUUAAGUGUUGCGUCAAUGCUGCCGCCAUUGUGUCGCCGGUUUUUAAGCUUUUGUACUUUUGGAUAAGUUUUUGCAUGUUUGAAUUGUAUUUUUUUUUCAGAUGGCUACGGCCUCGGCCAGCCCUGCCCCCAUACCCACCGUAGAACAUGGAGGGGUAAGUGUCUCAACUCCUACGUCAUUAUUACCAGACUAUGUGUCCCACUGCUGAGCACAGGCGUCUGAUGACAGCGAUUGGACUACGUUAUAUUCACAGUUCUAUGAGUAAAAGAAAAAUAGUACUAAAAAACUUAAAUGGUUGUGCGGCUUAAGAGGAAUUUCGUCUCGCAAACGCUGUGGCCAUGGAAUGAGGUCCGCUGCCGGGAUAUUCUCGAGGGGCUAACCGUACCUAUGGGGUUCUUCAAAAAAGGAGUGUACACAGUGUACAGGUAUUCGAAUAGGGCCGGCAUCGCGCAUGCAACUAGCUGGCCUCGCCAACACGUGACAAUCGCUAUCGCUUCGACAACGAAACGCUUUGUGUCUCUCUAGUCAACGAAAAUUUUGUAGCCACAAUCAAUUUACUGCCAUCUUUCUACACGUGAUUAAAACUUUUAGAACGCCAUUUGAUUUUGAUCCUUAUUAUUCUUUCACCGAUAUGUGUUAAACUUGUUAAAUAUCAAAAAGUGGCGCCAUCUUACCGGGCACAACCUAAAGGUUGUGGCGCCAUCGCUCGAAACGAUACUGCCAUACCUUUGGCGUUUGAUCUAUUAGAUGGCGCCACUUUUUGAUAUUUAACAAAUUUACCACAUUUGUGAAAGAAUAAGGAUCAAAGUCAAAUGGUAUUCUAAAAGUUUUAAUCAUGUGUUGAAAGAUGGCAGUAAAUUAACUGUGGCUACAAAGUUUUCUUUCAGGGGCCCAUUUUUCAAACGGUCUUAGUCUAAUAUUAUUAGAGCGGUAACCCAUACAACUUGACAGUUCGUGGACUAAUAAUAUUAGUCUAAAACCGUUUAUACCGAAAUAGGCCCCAGGAUUUAACCGAUUUUAUCAGUUCGCCGAGGUCUACCCCUUGAAGCUCAGAAAAUAAAUUAACUUAUCAAUAAUUCUGCUUCUGAGAUUAUUUAAUGGCUCACCAGAGCAAAACAAUAACAUAUUGUUAAAUUGGAAUCGAUCUCCGGUUUACUCUUUUAAAUAUUUGAGUUUAGUAUAAAAACUGUAUUUUUUAUUUGUGUUAUAGGGUGUUCGCGGGGGAGGGGUGGUUACCGGUGGAGGGGGAGGGGUCGUGACCGGCGGCGGGGGAGGUGACAUCGGUGGAGUCAUCAGAGACAUACUUGGUUCUAUCAGAGGAGUUAAACGAUCAGUUGGUGGUAUCCUGAACGCCCUUCUUAAGAUCACUAUCGGCAGUCUGAAGGACGUCCUCGAUUUUAUUGUACAACGUAAGUAUAUUUGAUUUAUUUGUUUCAAAAGAAAAAGUAAUUACAACUUACCUCUGUAUCUAUGUGAGAUCGAGUCCCACUGUGUCCUUUUUAGGUUUCCAUACCUCAAAAGGGAAAAACGGAACCGUUAUAGGACCCCUUUUAGGGAUCCGUACCUCAAAAGGGAAAAACGGAAACCUAUAAGGUCCGUCCGUCCAUCUGUCUGUCGAGACCCUUUAUCUCGGGAACGCGUGGAGGUAUCGAGUUGGAAUUAAAACCAUAUACUCAGAUCUACAGUCCCUUGAAGCUUUCGCGUCAGGACUGUUAACAACCUUAUAAACGAGUGCUUUAAUUUAAUGUUUCUUUGACAGUGGUCCUUAUCCUCGAGGUGAUUCUGAACAACGUAGCCCAUGGCUUGGGCACCCUGUGCGCCAGGCUGGUGGCAGUGAUUCUGAAGAUUGCCGUCUGCGUCAAGGGUUGCCCUGGUGAGUUACCCCUUUAUUAUUAUUAUUAAAAGCUUUUAUUUAAUCAAUGUUAGAAUAGAACAGUCAACGUCGAUCGAUAGUUUCUAUUCUACCUAGACCAAUUGAUCGAUUGACGCCGACUGUUCCAUUCCAUUCUACCAUCCAUCGAUUAUCGAUCGUUUGGUGUGGUAACACCCUUAGACCCACUUCUCAUUAUUUGAUUGAGCUGAAACUUUACAUACAUACACUUAGGAGCAAAACUGUCCCAAUAGUAGCAUAUUAGUAGAAUGUGGCGUGGUUGAUGUCGAUCAAGGGGAGGGGCACAUGGUUAAUACAUAACAGUACUCCUUGAAAUUUUCUACAAAUCGCUUAACAUAUGAUGUACUUGGCAUUUACGGUUAUUUUGUAAUUUCGAAUCGAAAAGUAGAAAAAAACACAUUUUUAUUUUUUCCAAUAUUUUUAUUUCCUUCUAUAGAAACUCCAAAUAGGGAACCAUAUAUAAUUAAGACGCGUUCGCCACGGAGCGUGAACGAUAUGCACGUUGGCUACGCGGGCUGAUCUGAUGAUGGAGACAGGAGGUGGCCAUAGGAACUCUUAUGUUGCCAAUGAGUAUUAGUUGCCUGCUGAAAGAAAAGUACAGUAAGCUAUAAAAACUCGUAACAAAAAUGUUUUUUUUUACAAUAAACUUAUUUUUAUUAAAGAGGCGACAUUAAGUAUUUAUUAAUCAGCUAUAUUGAACAGGUGACAGGGGCAUCUGCACGAAGGCCUGGAACCAGAAGUUCAGGAUUAACGGAGACGGAUCCACUGGCGCUGAUCUCAUCAAGAUCUUCAAGCUCUCCAGGGUUGAGGCCGAAUACGAUGGCUACGUCAAAAAGUGCACCAAAGGAAAAGGUAUCGUUAUUUUAAAACAUUUUAAGCAGUACAUUUUGACAAAAUUCAAUAAGACCAGAGACUAGUUAAUAUUCAAAACGAACAACUCCCAUACAACGACGCGUUCCUCGCGGAGCUUUUUACUAUUACUACUUUUAAUUUAGUUUUAUAAGUACUUAUAAAGUCUGUCACCUACUGCUUUUAUGACUUCUAAACGUAAAACCCAACGGUAUAUUCACAAAAGUACGAUUAAAGCACUAUAAAAGUAUUUUAGUUAUUCUUAUUUCAUGACGCCAUCUAGUUUCAAGAUUAUUAAACUUUUUCCGGGUUCCAAAUGCUUCAAAAGCACUUCUGUGGCUAUACCCUAAUUUUUAUGGUUCCUUACAUUGUAAAUUAAACUGUAUAUUUUUAAUCCUAAUCUUUUCAGGAAUCUCAAAAUUAC